CCUUGCCCAUUGUUUCUGUUUGCUACUUGAAGCGAGGUUGCCCUUUGUAUAUUCGGCUUGUUGACACGGAAUAUACAAGGGCAAGCUCUCUGUGAGUAUCAAACCAUCCCAUGGGCCCAGGUC
rnacentral:pre_miRNA from 13 species